rnacentral:rRNA from 1 species
GGGUAGUUACUUUCGGGUAAUGAGACCGGCGCACGGGUGCGUAACGCGUAUGCAAUCUACCUUUUACAGGGGAAUAGCCCAGAGAAAUUUGGAUUAAUGCCCCAUAGUAUGUAUGAAUCGCAUGGUUUAUACAUUAAAGUUCCAACGGUAAAAGAUGAGCAUGCGUCCCAUUAGUUAGUUGGUAAGGUAGCGGCUUACCAAGACGAUGAUGGGUAGGGGUCCUGAGAGGGAGAUCCCCCACACUGGUACUGAGACACGGACCAGACUCCUACGGGAGGCAGCAGUGAGGAAUAUUGGACAAUGGGCGCAAGCCUGAUCCAGCCAUGCCGCGUGCAGGAAGAAGCAUCUAUGGUGUGUAAACUGCUUUUGUACAGGAAGAAACACUCCCUCGUGAGGGAGCUUGACGGUACUGUAAGAAUAAGGAUCGGCUAACUCCGUGCCAGCAGCCGCGGUAAUACGGAGGAUCCAAGCGUUAUCCGGAAUCAUUGGGUUUAAAGGGUCCGUAGGCGGUUUGAUAAGUCAGUGGUGAAAGCCCAUCGCUCAACGAUGGAACGGCCAUUGAUACUGUCAGACUUGAAUUACUAGGAAGUAACUAGAAUAUGUAGUGUAGCGGUGAAAUGCUUAGAUAUUACAUGGAAUACCAAUUGCGAAGGCAGGUUACUACUAGUGGAUUGACGCUGAUGGACGAAAGCGUGGGGAGCGAACAGGAUUAGAUACCCUGGUAGUCCACGCCGUAAACGAUGGAUACUAGCUGUUGGGCGCAAGUUCAGUG